CACGUAGGGCGCAAGCGUUGUCCGGAAUUAUUGGGCGUAAAGAGCUCGUAGGCGGUCUGUUGCGUCCGCUGUGAAAACUCGGGGCUUAACCCCGAGCCUGCAGUGGAUACGGGCAGACUAGAGGUAGGUAGGGGAGAAUGGAAUUCCCGGUGUAGCGGUGAAAUGCGCAGAUAUCAGGAAGAACACCAACGGCGAAGGCAGCUCGCUGGGACGGUACUGACGCUGAGACGCGAAAGCGUGGGGAGUGAACAGG
rnacentral:rRNA from 1 species